rnacentral:rRNA from 1 species
UACGUAGGUGGCAAGCGUUGUCCGGAUUUACUGGGCGUAAAGAGCGCACAGGCGGUCGUCCAAGUCGCGUGUGAAAGCCCCCGGCUCAACUGGGGAGGGUCACGCGAUACUGGUCGACUCGAAGGCAGGAGAGGGUAGUGGAAUUCCCGGUGUAGUGGUGAAAUGCGUAGAUAUCGGGAGGAACACCAGUGGCGAAGGCGACUACCUGGCCUGUUCUUGACGCUGAGGCGCGAAAGCUAGGGGAGCAAACGGGG